rnacentral:rRNA from 1 species
CCUACGGGAGGCAGCAGUAGGGAAUAUUGCUCAAUGGGGGAAACCCUGAAGCAGCAACGCCGCGUGGAGGAUGAAGGUUUUCGGAUUGUAAACUCCCUUUGUUAGAGAAGAUAAUGACGGUAUCUAACGAAUAAGCACCGGCUAACUCCGUGCCAGCAGCCGCGGGAAUACGGAGGGUGCAAGCGUUACACGGAAUCACUGGGCGUAAAGAGCGCGUAGGCGGGAUAGCAAGUCAGAUGUGAAAUCCUAUGGCUUAACCAUAGAACUGCAUUUGAAACUGGUAUUCUAGAGUAUGGGAGAGGUAGGUGGAAUUCGUGGUGUAGGGGUAAAAUCCGUAGAGAUCAAGAGGAAUACUCAUUGCGAAGGCGACCUGCUAGAACAUAACUGACGCUGAUGCGCGAAAGCGUGGGGAGCAAACAGGAUUAGAUACCCUUGUAGUC